rnacentral:precursor_RNA from 15 species
GUGCGUCAAAAUCACUCGGCUUUCACUUUUCGUGUUCGAUGUUUGAACUUGGAUUUUUAAAAUAUGAAAAGAAAUCUGUUCAUUCCUCGACACUAAGAGUUUAGGUCUAUAAACAACAUGGGUGUU